rnacentral:rRNA from 1 species
AAUCAACGCUGGCGGCGCGCUUAACACAUGCAAGUCGCACGAGAAAGUGGAGCAAUCCAUGAGUACAGUGGCGUACGGGUGAGUAACACGUGGAUUAUCUGCCCUUUAGUGGGGAAUAACCCUGGGAAACCGGGGCUAAUACCGCAUAAGCCUGGAAAGGGAAAGCAGCAAUGCGCUGAAGGAGGAGUCCGCGGCCGAUUAGCUAGUUGGUAGGGUAACGGCCUACCAAGGCAAUGAUCGGUAGCCGGCCUGAGAGGGCACACGGCCACA